UGCCCAGAUGGUGAAAUUGGUAGACACGCCAGAUUUAGGUUCUGGUGCCGUAAGGUGUGUAGGUUCGAGUCCUAUUCUGGGCAA
rnacentral:tRNA from 1 species